rnacentral:rRNA from 1 species
AGCUUUAUGCAAAUACUUAUAAAGUUGAUUUUGCCCAAUGGAAAAUCUUAAUGGCCGCAGUACCUUGACUGUGCUAAGGUAGCAUAAUAAUUUGGCUUUUAAUUGAAGUCGAGAAUGAAAGAGUGAAUGGGGGGAUACUGUUUCUUAUGUUUAAUUUUAAUUUACUUAAAAGGUGAAAAUACCUUUAUACAGAAAAAAGACGAGAAGACCCUUAGAGUUUUUAUAAUAAAUAUAAUAAAUAUAUUUUUUUUUUGUUGGGGUGACAGGCUAGCAAUAAAAUAACCUAGUUUAUAUAAACAAAUGAUUUAGUUAUAAGAUAAAACUACCUAAGGGAUAACAGCAUAAUUUAAAAAAUAAAAUUGUGACCUCGAUGUUGGACUAGGAUCCUUAUAAUUAGUAAUUUAAAAGGUUAGUUCUGUUCGAACUUUAUCUCCU